UGCAAUUCUGUAAUGGACAGUAGGAUAUGGG
rnacentral:piRNA from 1 species